rnacentral:rRNA from 1 species
GACGAACGCUGGCGGCGUGCUUAACACAUGCAAGUCGAACGGAAAGGCCCUGCUUUUGUGGGGUGCUCGAGUGGCGAACGGGUGAGUAACACGUGAGUAACCUGCCCUUGACUUUGGGUUAACUUCAGGAACCUGGGGCUAAUCCCGGUUAGGGGCUCCUGCGGCUGGGUGGGGGUGGGAAAGUUUCGGCGGUUGGGGAUGGACUCGCGGCUUAUCAGCUUGUUGGUGGGGUAGUGGCUUACCAAGGCUUUGACGGGUAGCCGGCCUGAGAGGGUGACCGGCCACAUUGGGACUGAGAUACGGCCCAGACUCCUACGGGAGGCAGCAGUGGGGAAUAUUGCACAAUGGGCGGAAGCCUGAUGCAGCAACGCCGCGUGCGGGAUGACGGCCUUCGGGUUGUAAACCGCUUUCGCCUGUGACGAAGCGUGAGUGACGGUAAUGGGUAAAGAAGCACCGGCUAACUACGUG